AGUUUGAUCCUGGCUCAGAUUGAACGCUGGCGGAUGCUUUUACACAUGCAAGUCGAACGGCAGCACGGACUUCGGUCUGGUGGCGAGUGGCGAACGGGUGAGUAAUGUAUCGGAACGUGCCUAGUAGCGGGGAUAACUACGCGAAAGCGUAGCCAAUACCGCAUACGCCCUUCGGGGAAAGCGGGGGACCUUCGGGCCCUCGCAAUUGGCUUUAGAGCGGCCGAUAUCGGAUUAGCCAGUUGGUGGUAACGGCUCACCAAGGCGAUCCGUAGCUGGUUUGAGAGGACGACCAGCCACAAUUGGGAUCGAGACACGGCCCGACUCCUACGGGAGGCAGCAGUGGGGAAUUUUGGACAAUGGGGAAACCCUGAUCCAGCCAUCCCGCAUGCGAUGAAGGCCUUCGGGUUGUGGUAAAGCACUUGGCAGGAAGCACCCGCUGAUAAUACCUCGUGCAACUGACGGUACCUGCAGAAUAAGCACCGGCUAACCACGCGCCAGCAGCCGCGGUAAUAUGUAGGGUGCAAGCGUUAAUCGGAAUUACUGGGCGUAAAGCGUGCACAGGCGGUUCGGAAAGAAAGAUGUGAAACUCAGAGCUUAACUUUGGAACUGCAUUUAACUACCGAGCUGAGUGUGUCAGGAGAGGAAUUCCGCGUAGCAGUGAAAUGCGCAGAUAUGCGGAGGAACACCGAUGGCGAAGGCAGCCUCCUUGGGAUAACACUCGACGCUCAUGCACGAAAGCGUGGGGAGCAAACAGGAUUAGAUACCCUGGUAGUCCACGCCCUAAACGGAUGUCAACUAGCUGUUGGGGCCUUCGGGCCUUGGUACAGGCUAACGGGUGAAGUUGACCGCCUGGGAGUACGGUCGCAAGAUUAAAAACUCAAAGGAAUUGACGGGGACCUGCACAAGCGGUGGGAUGUGAUGUGGAUUAAUUCGAUGCAACGUGAAAACCUUACCUACCCUUGACAUGUCUGGAAUCCCGAAGAGAUUUGGGGAGUGCUCGCAAGAGAACCGGAACACAGGUGCUGCAUGGCUGUCGUCAGCUCGUGUCGUGAGAUGUUGGGUUAAGUCCUGCAACGAGCGCAACCCUGUCAUUAGUUACAUGAAAGGGCACUCAUCGAGACUGCCGGUGACAAACCGGAGGAAGGUGGGGCGACGUCAAGUCCUCAUGGCCCUUAUGGGUAGGGCUUUCACACGUCAAGGCAGCAAUAUCGACAGAGGCCGCCAAACCGCGAGGGAGCCAUCCCAGAAACCCGAUCAGUCCGAUCAGGUCUGUAACUGACUGCGGCUGAAUCAGUAAUCGCGGAUCAACACAGCCGCAGGUGAAUACGUUCCCGGGUCUGUACUACUACCGCCUGUCACACCAUGGGAGUGGGUUUACCAGAAGUAGUUAGCUCAACUGUAAGGAGGGCGAUUACUUACGGUAGGGAUUCAUGACUAAAGGUGAAGUCGUAAUAAGGUAA
rnacentral:rRNA from 1 species